CCUUCCCUUUCAUGAAUGUGACCUACCGAAUUAGACUAUUUACCGGAUUUGUAAUCACAUAAGCAACACGACGGGUGCCGCAUGUGGAGCAGGAUCUGCUUACCCUUCCAGAGCACCUGAGAUCACCCCUAGUUUUUGAUGGGGUUCGUGUUGUUUAUUCUUUAGUUUUCUAUGUUGUGUCAUGUGUACUAUUGUUUUUCUGUUUGUCUUUUUCAUUUUUAGCCAUGG
rnacentral:lncRNA from 1 species